rnacentral:ncRNA from 1 species
GUGUAAGUAUAAAUUGCUUUGUAUUGUGAAACUGUGAAUAGCUCAUUAAAUCAAUAAUAAUUUAUUUGAUGGUACCUUACUACUUGGAUAACCAUAGUAAUUCUAAAGCUAAUACGUGCAAAGAGUCCUGACCUCUUUAAGGCAUGCAUUUAUUAGAUUCAAGGCUAAUGCGGGCUCGCCCUGAUGGCCGGAUAUCUGGCUAGAAUAUAUUGGCAAGGCCACAGGUUCAAAUCCACAGCCAGAG